UUUAGAAUCUCACUCUCUCUCCCUCAUUCAUCUCUUUCACUCUUUCUCUCCCUGUCUUGGCCAAGCUCUUUCAUAAACCCAUACACCAACAAACAAACAAUAACACCAAUCAUCCACCCUUCUAGUCACUGUGGUAAGGCUUGAACCAAAAAUUUGAGAGAAAAACCCAUUGAAACUUCCGUACUCUCGCUGCACAGUGCAGUUACUGUGCAAUGAAUUCUCCGGCGAAUUCUCACCAUCUCCAGCAAAGGCACACGGAAAACACAAGAGAACUCACUGUGCAAAUUCUGGAAAACUCGAAAUCGUGGUCGGAAUGAGCUCUUGAAGUUAAAGGAAAAAUAUGGAAAAAUUCCAGAAAAUCGAGGAAGGCGAAUACGCUUGUACUCACGGCGUGUGAGGCUGUCAUGGCCAGCGUGUGGAGUGCAUGCACCUCCGUGCAAAGGCACUAUGCUCUGUCAUCGUCCACGGAGGCGCUGGCGAAUUUUUAGGCGAUGCAUCUCAGCGCGUGGGGUGGCGCGUGGUGAUUCGAGCAGCCAUCCUUUGGUGGCACUUAGGGGAACCUGAGAUCUCUCCCUACGUUUUUCGAUGUGUCGAAUUUGAAUCCGUCGUCCAUUUUUCCAAAUUUGACCAUUUUAGUAGAGUUUUAAUAAAUGACCCCUAUUUGUGUUUAGGUGCAUUUAUUGAAAGUGAUUCCAUCCUCCUUAGUUCGAUCGGCUCUCCGGUAGCGGAAUAUUUAUGAGCGGAGCCUUUCUUAAAUUGCAUGUUUUUAUAAAGAUAUUAGGCUUGUAUGCAUUUCAUAUUUCAUGAAUUAAGUCUGAUUUUUAGAGAAUUCAUGAUUCAUUUGAUUCA